rnacentral:rRNA from 1 species
AUUGAACGCUGGCGGCAGGCCUAACACAUGCAAGUCGAGCGGAUGAGGGGUGCUUGCACCCCGAUUCAGCGGCGGACGGGUGAGUAAUGCCUAGGAAUCUGCCCGAUAGUGGGGGACAACGUUUCGAAAGGAACGCUAAUACCGCAUACGUCCUACGGGAGAAAGAGGGGGCUCUUCGGACCUAACGCUAUCGGAUGAGCCUAGGUAGGAUUAGCUAGUGGGUGGGGUAAAGGCUUACCAAGGCGACGGUCCGUAACUGGUCUGAGAGGAUGAUCAGUCACACUGGAGAUGAGACACGGUCCAGACUCCUACGGGAGGUAGCAGGGGGGAAUAUUGGACAAUGGGCGAAAGCCUGAUCCAGCCAUGCCGCGUGUGGGAAGAAGGUCUUCGGAUUGUAAAGCACUUUAAGUUGGGAGGAAGGGCAGUAAGCUAAUCCCUUGCUGUUUUGACGUUACCGACAGAAUAAGCACCGGCUAACUCUGUGCCAGCCGCAGCUGUAAGAC